CGGCCAGAGUGAGUCAUGGUGAAGAUCGAAUGGUCAGGAUGAAUUAUGGACUUCGAUCAAGACUCUGAUUUCGAUCUGAAUAUGAUUUUUGGGCUUUAAAUAGCUCUGUGGGCCAUAGAAUUGUAGAAGCCGAGAAGGGACCUCAGGCAACCACUGGGAGAGAGUCCGACAGAGCAUCGAGGGUGCACAGUAGGUAGAGCAGACGCAAGCAG
rnacentral:lncRNA from 1 species